GAUUAUAGCUCACUGCAUUCUUGAACUCCUGGCCUCAGGCAAUGCUCCUGCUCCUGCCUCAACUUUCCAAAGUGCUGGGAUUAUAAGUGCACGCCAUCAUGCCCGACCUGACUUGAUGACUUCUUAAGAUUCAGUGAAGCCUGACUCAUUGCUCCAGCUGGAGAGUUGAUUAUGACACAAUGCCUGCCUUGAAGAGCACUCUUGGCCAGGUGCAGUGGCUCACACCUGUAGUCCCAGCACUCUGGGAGCCCAAGGCAGGUGGAUCACUUCAGCCCAGGAGUUUGAGACCAGCCUGGCCAACAUGGCAAAACUUCAUCUCUGCUAAAAAUACAGAAAAAUUAGACAAGCGUGGUGGCAUGUGCCUGUAGUCCCAGCUACUCAUGAGGCUGAGAUGGGAGAAUCACCUGAAGUCAAGGCUGCAAUGAGCUGUGAUCAUGAUCAUGCCACUCCAGUCUGGGUGAUGGGAGUGAGACCCA
rnacentral:lncRNA from 1 species